AUUGAACGCUGGCGGCAUGCUUUACACAUGCAAGUCGAACGGUAACAGGUUAAGCUGACGAGUGGCGAACGGGUGAGUAAUGCAUCGGAACGUGCCCGGUCGUGGGGGAUAACGCAGCGAAAGCUGCGCUAAUACUGCAUACGAUCUGAGGAUGAAAGCGGGGGACCGUAAGGCCUCGCGCGAUCGGAGCGGCCGAUGUCAGAUUAGGUAGUUGGUGGGGUAAAGGCUCACCAAGCCGACGAUCUGUAGCUGGUCUGAGAGGACGACCAGCCACACUGGGACUGAGACACGGCCCAGACUCCUACGGGAGGCAGCAGUGGGGAAUUUUGGACAAUGGGCGCAAGCCUGAUCCAGCAAUGCCGCGUGCAGGAAGAAGGCCUUCGGGUUGUAAACUGCUUUUGUACGGAGCGAAAAGGCUCUCUCUAAUACAGGGGGCUCAUGACGGUACCGUAAGAAUAAGCACCGGCUAACUACGUGCCAGCAGCCGCGGUAA
rnacentral:rRNA from 1 species